AUUGAACGCUGGCGGCAUGCCUUACACAUGCAAGUCGAACGGCAGCAUGGAAGAGCUUGCUCUUCUGAUGGCGAGUGGCGAACGGGUGAGUAAAGCAUCGGAACGUACCGUGUAGUGGGGGAUAACGUAGCGAAAGUUACGCUAAUACCGCAUACGCACUGAGGUGGAAAGCAGGUGAUCGCAAGACCUUGCGCUAUACGAGCGGCCGAUGUCAGAUUAGCUAGUUGGUAGGGUAAAGGCCUACCAAGGCGACGAUCUGUAGCGGGUCUGAGAGGAUGAUCCGCCACACUGGGACUGAGACACGGCCCAGACUCCUACGGGAGGCAGCAGUGGGGAAUUAUGGACAAUGGGGGAAACCCUGAUCCAGCCAUGCCGCGUGAGUGAAGAAGGCCUUCGGGUUGUAAAGCUCUUUCGGCUGGGAAGAAAUCGCACAGGCUAAUACUCUGUGUGGAUGACGGUACCAGCACAAGAAGCACCGGCUAACUACGUGCCAGCCGCCGCCGUAA
rnacentral:rRNA from 1 species